rnacentral:rRNA from 1 species
AAGACCGCGAGGUCAAGCCAAUCCCAUAAAACCAUUCUCAGUUCGGAUUGUAGGCUGCAACUCGCCUACAUGAAGCUGGAAUCGCUAGUAAUCGCGGAUCAGCAUGCCGCGGUGAAUACGUUCCCGGGCCUUGUACACACCGCCCGUCACACCACGAGAGUUUGUAACACCCGAAGUCGGUGGAGUAACCGUAAGGAGCUAGCCGCCUAAGGUGGGACAGAUGAUUGGGGUGAAGUCGUAACAAGGUAGCCGUAUCGGAAGGUGCGGCUGGAUCACCUCCUUUCUAAGGA